AACGAACGCUGGCGGCGUGUCUUAAGCAUGCAAGUCGAGCGGCAAGGCGGGGCAACCCGCCCUAGAGCGGCGGACUGGUGAGUAACGCGUGGAUGAUCUACCUUUGGGAUGGGGAUAGCCAUUAGAAAUAGUGGGUAAUACCGAAUACGCUGACGUGCCUACGAGUGCGUUAGGAAAGGCGCUACGGCGCCACCCAUAGAUGAGUCCGCGUCCCAUUAGCUAGUUGGUGAGGUAAAGGCCCACCAAGGCGACGAUGGGUAGCCGGCCUGAGAGGGUGUACGGCCACACUGGGACUGAGACACGGCCCAGACUCCUACGGGUGGCAG
rnacentral:rRNA from 1 species